GAUAAUAAGUCUCGCAACACUUCCCAUAAUUUGUUUUCAUUCGUUGCUGAGUCCGCCAUGUUCUAUUUUCUCCGAUGUCUUUCCGUCGCGGCAAAAUGAUUAAAUCUUGCACGAAAAGUGAGUGUUUUAAAAGUGUAGCUUCAGCCAAAGGUAAAUAUGAUCGUGAUUUGCCUGCAGAACAAAAAGAUCCAGAGCGAGACGGUCGUUCCGCUGGACAAAGGCGAUUCCUCUUCCACACCUCCGAAUGCCGCCGAGGAAGUGCAGAAGAAGACGCACACUUUUUAUCAGCUCAACGGGACCGUCCGCAUACACGACCGAACGGAGGCCAUCAACAUCAUGGGGAAUCCGGAAUCCAGCAGUAUAUGCCAUUCCGGAGCUGACUCACUAGGACAUAUUGCCGUAUAGUUCCGGCGAACAGCAUCCGCUACAGCGCGAUGUAUUGGAUAAGUUUCUGGGACAUCAACCGGAGCGCGAAGAAGAAUCUUCCCUGGGAACAUACGGGAAAACCGUGGCACGGUAGUUUCGGUGUAUUGGAUCGGUACAAACACAUCCCCGAGUGCUUAUAUUUUAUCUGCACAGCAAAAAAUAAUGUAAUUUGCAUCGACGUAAUUCAUGCCGAUGUAACAAAUAUUCGAUGUAACCGCUAAUUUCAAGUGCAAAAUGGCAUAUUUUUGAUGUUAUAUUACAUCGCUUAGAAAUUACACAAAAAUAUAAUUACCAUUUUUCAUCACAUUGACAUUGUGUAAUAUUCACAUCUAAACUAUAUAAAUAUUACACAGAAACAAAUGCAACCAAGUCAUUCCGAUAUACCUUAGUAAUAUUACACAAAUUCAAUGCUAUUUCGCAUGCGUAACGAAUGCAAUAAUCAGUCCCGCAACACUGCCCAGACUUUGUUUCGGUCGGUGUCUGACGAAGUGUCAUGGCGUCAGAUUCCGUGCGCGUUUGCAUCAGAUAUUUUUUUUGUCGAGUUUGCAUGCAGAUAUUUCCUGCUAUUAUAAUAAAUUUAAUCAAUGGUCAAAAAUUCUUCCGGAAUUUCUUAAGGAGUUCCAGGAGU